ensembl:lncRNA
UUUGUGUGUGUGUCCUGUGUCGCCACCUAUAUAUGCACGUGUGUGUACCUGUGUGUCGUUUGUGCGAAUAAAAACUGACUGAAGUCAGCCUUGUUUGUUUGUUGGUUGUUAUAGUUACAUCUCUGUCUUGUCUCCUGUCCUCUCCCAGAUGUCCACUACUCCACUGCCGCCCCCUCUCACUCCCUCUCCUAAGGGCCACCACCCCUCCUCUUCCUCAUCGUCUCCCAACACCUCCCUCUCCCCUCCUCCCGUGUCGCCUCACCAUCCUGAUGGAGUGGUGCUGCGGUCCCCAGCCACACGUCACCUGACUCACCUGGACCCCUGGAGGAGACACAGCUGGGAGCCAGGGGCCGUGGUGCAGGGAUGCUCGCCCAAUGAGUCACGCAGCGUGAGCCUGGAAGACUUGGACCCGGCGGAGAUGGCGCUGGUGUUGGGCGGUGCCAUCGGGGUGCGGCGGGUGCGUGAUUCACGCAGGGUGAGGGAGGGAUCCCUGUCCUCACUGACUGAAGAGGAGGCGGGACCUGAGCACCGGUCGGUGCUGGAGGAGCAGUCGUCUCACAUGCACGGCUGUAGUGCCUCAGCUCCAGUGCUCAGUGUGGAACACCGAACGCCACCCACCUCGGCCCCGCGACCCCGCUCACAGUGCUACGAUGGCAUGCUGUACUCACCAACUGGAAGCUCCACUCAAAGUGUGGACAGUGAUGUGGCAGAGGAAGAGGAAAGGGAAGAGCUGAUGGGAGGCGCUCUGGGCCGCACGUUCAGCUUCCUGCGCAAGAUGUCCAUCCGCAGAGGCAAGGUAACACCCAAAGCCAGAGCACAGCACUGUCACCAGUAAUUACACACUGCC